rnacentral:lncRNA from 1 species
GUGAGGACUUUAUCCAGAAGUAAAGGCUGGAGCUGGCUGGGACCUCAUUGAGUGAACAGGAUGAAGAAGACAUUACCAGCUGAGAAAACAGACAAAGGCACAGAGGCAUGGCUGAGAAGAAAGCAUUAAGAAGACCACAAACAGCCAGGUGUGAUGGUGCAUGUCUGUAGUCCCAGCUACUCAGGAAGCUGAGGCCAGAGGAUUACUUGAGCCCAGGAGUUUUAGGCUACAGUGAGCAACAAUUACACCACUGCACUCCAGCCUGAGCAACAGGGCAAGACUCUGUCUCAAAAAACAAAUAAACAAACAAAAGAAACAAACAACUGGGAAUGCCAUACACCUGGGAAGAGUUAGGAGCAAUGCAGCUGGAGAAGGCAGCAGAAACAGGCUGAGCAAGCCUCAUGGGCUUUAUCCUGAAGGCAGCUGUGGACCACUGAAGAUUUUCAGGCAGGGAAAUGAUACGACAGAUUUGCAUUUUAGGAACAAGGGUCCCUCCUUCUGGAUUGAUAAGGGUGGGAACAUUCAAGCUACCGAUAAGACCUCUGCACCCAGCUCCUGUCCCUCCACUCCCUACGGCUCAGCUUUGAAGUUCCAAAAACCCUGCCUCUGUGACCUGAUUGUGUUAUCUUCAUAACCAAGCUCAUGUUGCAUGUGGAUGGCUGCAGCUCAGCAGCUGUAGAAUCUGCACCACCUGUCUUAUGCUGAGAUCCAGCCUGGAGGAACACCCCUCUGUGGAAUGUGGCACUCUCUUGGCAGAAAGAGCAAGAAAGCAGGCAGAAACUCAUGAAGACUCUUAAAGGCUUCUGCUUGGGCACGGGGUAUGUUUCAUCUACUCACAGUCCACUGGCCAACACAAGUCACAUGGUCAAACCCCAAGUCCAUCCGUGAGUCAGGAGUUGUAUCCUCCUCCCUCCUAUGGGAGACACUGCAAGUCACAUGACAUUACAGGGAAAGGGGUCACGUGUAGUCCUCUUAAAAGGAAGGGACAGGCCGUCCGGGAGGUGAGGGGCGCCUCUGCCCGGCCGCCCCUACUGGGAAGUGAGGACCCCUCUGCCAGGCCAGCCGCCCCG